GUUUGGGGAGGGGGGGUGUGUGCAGAGAACAAAACUUUUAAACAGCCAAUUCUAUUUAACCUGUGUAAUGUAAAGGCAGAUUAUAAGGGAAGUGGGAAAAAAUGCAUGCUAGAAGAUGAAGAAAAAUGAGAGAUGUGAAAAUCAGAAAAUGGAAAUUUACUUCCCUCUUAUCACAUAUAACACUUAUUUAAGAAGUUCAAUAAAGCGUCACUUUCGACAAGACUAUGGAAACUUACAGAUCAACAAAAAAUGCAUCCACAUAUGUUGUCUCUUAAAAAAAUCACUCACAUGAGCAGCUCUUAACACACAUGGCAGACAAACAAGAGACUGAUUGAAGCUUAGGAAACUUACAAAAAGUAAGGCCCCAUCUUGAUUCAACAAUUUAUUUGACUACGUAAAGAAGUCACGUUUACAUGUCUACAGACAUCUCUUGUGUGCACGCUGUCAAGAAUGCCCUUUAUUGGUGUCUACAUAUACAUACAUACAUACAUACAU
rnacentral:misc_RNA from 1 species